GGGCCCGUAGCUCAAUUGGAUAGAGCACCUGCCUUCUAAGCAGGUGGUUAUGAGUUCGAGUCUCAUCGGGCCCA
rnacentral:tRNA from 1 species